AAGAUUCUGCCACACUGGGCUAAGCCUUCUUGAGCUAGUGUCACAUGGCCUAGGUGACAGGAAUGGUACGUGUCAAACAUUAACAGAAGAAUCCUGAAGCUGCUCAGAGAGGGCAGAAUCAUCAUGGAGACAGAAGGGAUAACAUAGGCCUGAUCUUGAGUCUUAAGUACAGAAACAGUCUGUGAAGGUGAUCUCUUGAUCCUUCUGACUCUCGGGGUAUUAAGUAGGAGGUGUCAGAAAGUCACUGCAGAGAUAACUGAAAUGUGGUGGCAAAGUGUUCACGGUAAUAACACUUUCUAGUUAUUUUGUGUUAGCUUUUCAUUAUGAAACUUGGGACCUUCAUUGUGAAGUAGACUUCAACACGUAUUGAAAAGUUCAUCCACUGAUUAGAACGUCAGCUGGAUCAGUCCUUUAUGAAAGAGGACAGUU
rnacentral:ncRNA from 1 species